AGGCUUGUUCUGAGGUCCAGGCUUCAGGGAGGUAGGAGGAAUGAAGAGGCCCUGUGUUCAAUUAGGUCAAAGUGAAGGCUGAGGAGGACUGAGAAAACCCCAUCCCAGAGAGAGGGUCCCAGAACAUUCUUAGAAAAGCCUCAGUUGCCUGCUCUGCAGCAAGAAGUACAGAAUUUUCCAAGAGGCUCCCUUUGUCCUCCCUGGGACCUGAGAGGACAUCAGAGCCUUGUUUUGAGGACUGAACUUAAGGUGAGAGGAGCAGAGAGGGCCUGAGAUCAGUUAGGUCCAGGUGAGACACAGUGGGGGGUAUGGAGGAAUCCCCAGCACAGUAAGAAGAUUUCUGAAUGUUCUAGAAAAUCCUUGUUUGCCUGCCCUGCACCACCUAGUGCAAGAUUCUCAGGAGAACUCCCCCUUUCUCUUCACUGGGUGCUGAGAAUCAGCCUUUUGCUGAGGACCAAGAUUCAGGUUGCAGGAGUAAAAGGCCUGGGGUUAGGUAGGUCAAGGCAGGGCUGACGGCAGAGUGAAGAAGCAUCACCUGAGAGAGAGGGGUUCCACAAUAACCUAGAUCUGCCUUUGUAGUUAGCCCAGCACCAGGUGAAAAUUCUCAGAGGAGUACCCCUUUGACCUCAAGGCGCCAGGAGGGGAGAGUCAGAGCCUAGUUCUGAGGGCUGUACUUCAGGUCUAGGGAACAAAUAGGAUUUGACUUAGUUAGGUCAAGAUGAGAAGCUACGGGAACACUGUUAAAGCCUCUCCUCACAUAUAGUUUCUCCAGGUAAUCCAGAUCUACCUCUGCUGUGGGCCCUGCACUACACAGGCACAGAUUUUUAGGGAUAAGCCCCUUGCCCAAGUGUGUCACAGAGGACCCUGAGAGUUGGAGCCUUUUUCUGAGUUCUGCACUUCAGGUGAGCUGAGAAGAUAGGACCUGAGAUUGCUUAGAUUAAGUUCAGGAGCUGAGAAGGAGAAAGGAAGCCCCAUCCCAAGUGGAAGGUCCCCAAAUACCCCAUAUCUGCCUCUGCUGACUGCACUGCACUUUGCCAUUGUGAAUUCUUAGGCUGUAGGUGUGUCCAAGUCAAAAGGUGUCCCUGCUCACACUGGUAGUUAAAGAAGUCAGCCAGUCCCCAGAUCCAUGCUGGGUUCAAGGAUACAAGGAAAAGGGCAUCUGCAUCAUUAUCACCAAGCUCUUGGUGACCCCAAGGAACCUUGAAACAUCUUCAUGGUCAGAGGAAACAGCCCAGCAAGCUAGGAGGAGGUCACAGGGUCUGGCAGGUGUGGAGGUUUUAAAGCCAAUAAGAGAGGAAGUAGCAGCCACUGCUUCCUCUGUGUCCUCUUCCUUCAGUACUCAAAUCCCUGCUACAGCAAAAGAAGUGUCUCGGGCUGGGACACCAAGUUGUUCUCAAAAUCCUCAGGGCAUCUUCUCUCCACCACUGCCAUGGCCUCCAGGCAAAGGAGCAAAUCUAGUGAGUGUUCCAGCAGGGAAGAAGAAGAUCUGUACACCUCUCAGCAGUCACUAGUCCUUCAGUUCUUGUGCCAUGUGUUCCUAGAUGACAAGAUUGCUAAACUGUUGCCAGUCCUGCUCCUCAAGUAUCAAAAGAGGGAGCUAAUCACCAGGGCAGAAAUAUUGCACAUUGUGGACUAUGAUUACCAUGAGCACUUCCUUCUGAUGUUCAAAGAAGUCUGUAAGUGCAUGUGUUUGGGCUUUGGCAUUGAUAUAAGGGAAAUAGAUCCCUCUGGCCACAGAUAUGUCCUUUUGCCUAUCUUGGGCCUCACUUAUAAUAGGAUACUCAGUAAUGAUUACAAGAGCAUUACCAAAAUUGACCUCCUGAUAGUCAUCCUGACUAUCAUCUUCUUGAAAGGUAACCGUGCCAGUGAGGAGGACAUAAAGGAAUACCUGAGAAAAAGGGAAAUGUUACCUCAGAAGGAUCACUUUGUAAUUGAGGAGCCCUGGAAAUUCAUCACAGAGGAUUUAGUACAAGCAGGAUAUCUAGAAUAUCGGCAGGUGCCCAAAAGUGAUCCUGCUCACUAUGAGUUCCUGUGGGGGCCAAGGGCUAAGGCUGAAACCAGCAAGAUGAAAGUCCUGGAGCAUCUGGCCAAGGUUAAUAAGAGAGAUCCCAGGUCCUACACACGUCUGUAUGAGGAAGCUUUGAGAGAGGAAUCAGAAGCUGCCCAUUCCUAAGAUACGGGGCAGUGCAGGGGGAAGGUUAGUGCUAGAGACAGGAAGUGUUCCUAACCACAUCACUGUCUUAGUUCCCACCCCAUGAGAAAUGACUCCCACUCUUCACUCUGUUUCUGGAUAGCACAUAGCUUUCUAAGUACUGAAGAGCCAGGGGAGGGGUAAAACCCCAUGCGUACCAUGUUGAUUUCUGUUCUAUUUGGGUUCCUUGGAAAUGCACUUGUGUUUUCUUUAUGACUUUUUGAAAUCUUGUUCCAUUUUUGCAAGUUUGGCACAAUUGCACAUCUUUGAAUAACGAUACUGAUCUCACAUGUAUUUGUAGUUUUGUGAUAUUGAGGGUUGAUUGUGAUUUCUGAUGUGAAUAUGAUUUUGUGUGAUAUCGAUCAUAUAGAAAUUUUGUUCUUCCAUUCCAAGUGUAAAACUGUUUUUGUAUUAAACUAACUUGGAAAACUUCCAUUUUAUUUUGAAGAAGAAACUACAAUAUUGGAAUAGGAAUUUCCAUGAAAAUGAGUAAAAAGUUCACAUCAAGUUAGAUGGAGUACAGAAAUAGACAUAAGGAUACAGACCAAUAUUUGGUUUUUCACUUUUUUCUGUUGUUUUAUCCAAUUAAAAUAUAUGCUUACCCAAAUAUGCUUGGUUUCUUCAA